rnacentral:rRNA from 1 species
GAGUCCUACGGGGGGCAGCAGUGGGGAAUAUUGCACAAUGGGCGAAAGCCUGAUGCAGCAACGCCGCGUGAAGGAAGACGGUUUUCGGAUUGUAAACUUCUGUUCUUAGUGAAGAAAAAUGACGGUAGCUAAGGAGCAAGCCACGGCUAACUACGUGCCAGCAGCCGCGGUAAUACGUAGGUGGCAAGCGUUGUCCGGAAUUACUGGGUGUAAAGGGAGCGUAGGCGGGAAACCAAGUCAGCUGUGAAAACUACGGGCGUAACCUGUAGACUG